CAUUGCACGUGAGAUCUGCAUGCAAGAUCAAAACACCAAGAUAUUCGAAAAGACGUGUUGUAGCUAUAGCUUCAUACGCGUUAUCAUCUAAAAUAAAUACAAAAACUUAAAACUUGCAAGCUUACUACUACUAUUGUACUGAUAAACAUGCACUUGCUUUUUGUCUAGAGAGAUGGCAUGACAGCAAUGGAUGAUAGUGUCUUUUAGCAUACAAAAAUACUUGGAAUGUGGUACAAAAAUACUUGGAAAUGCUCAAGAUGUGAUACAGUUUGUGACUAUAGAUAUUUAAAAGAAAAAGUCUCAGUAUGUUGCCUGUGAAACACAACAGGAAAAUGCCAAUUCAUCAAAUACUUGAUUACAUCAUGAAGCUCGCUUUUUUUCUGUUGUUGAGAUAUGAUUCUUACCAGAUAUGUAGUUAAAUAUUUAGUGCAUGUGAAUGAAAAUAUGGUCCAAAGUUUGA